GAAGUGAAAAGGGGGUCUGUUGUGUGCACUCAUGGGGUAUAUUUUUAUUUGUGAAGGAUUUUGCAGCCAGUCUUUUACAUGGAUAACCUUACACAGAUAAAAGAUAAAGGCCCCAAUGUAGGUUGAAUAAGAAGAGAAGAAAUCCUUAUUUUUCAGCCCAAGACACUAAGCGGGAUUAAGCCUAUGUCAUUUGCUCUUCAAAGUCUGGGUUUUCUUUCAGAAACACACUGGACAUUAUAUGGGAAUAACACUUAGAGACUGGGCUGUGGAGAAGACCAAAGAGUCUGCUACAAUAUAUUAGC
rnacentral:lncRNA from 10 species